rnacentral:rRNA from 1 species
GAUGAACGCUGGCGGCGUGCUUAACACAUGCAAGUCGAACGAAGCACUUGGAUCUCUUCGGAGUGAUGAGUGACUGAGUGGCGGACGGGUGAGUAACGCGUGGGUAACCUGCCUCGUACAGGGGGACAACAGUUGGAAACGACUGCUAAUACCGCAUAAGCGCACAGCAUCGCAUGAUGCGGUGUGAAAAGCUGAGGCGGUACGAGAUGGACCCGCGUUGGAUUAGCCAGUUGGUGGGGUAACGGCCUACCAAGGCGACGAUCCAUAGCCGACCUGGGAGGGUGACCGGCCACAUUGGGACUGAGACACGGCCCAAAAGCCUACGGGAGGCAGCAGUGGGGAAUAUUGCACAAUGGGCGAAAGCCUGAUGCAGCGACGCCGCGUGAGCGAUGAAGUAUUUCGGUAUGUAAAGCUCUAUCAGCAGGGAAGAAAAUGACGGUACCUGACUAAGAAGCUCCGGCUAAAUACGUGCCAGCCGCCGCGGUAACAC